rnacentral:rRNA from 1 species
GGAGGGUGCAAGCGUUAAUCGGAAUUACUGGGUGUAAAGGGAGUGUAGCCGGGAGGGCAAGUCAGAUGUGAAAUCCACGGGCUCAACUCGUGAACUGCAUUUGAAACUACUCUUCUUGAGUAUCGGAGAGGCAAUCGGAAUUCCUAGUGUAGCGGUGAAAUGCGUAGAUAUUAGGAGGAACACCAGUGGCGAAGGCGGAUUGCUGGACGACAACUGACGGUGAGGCGCGAAAGCGUGGGGAGCAAACAGGAUUAGAUACCCUGGUAGUCCACGCUGUAAACGAUGAAUACUAGGUGUGCGGGGACUGACCCCCUGCGUGCCGCAGCUAACGCAAUAAGUAUUCCACCUGGGGAGU